UGCCUACGGGGGGCAGCAGUAGGGAAUUUUCGUCAAUGGGCGCAAGCCUGAACGAGCCAUGCCGCGUGCAGGAUGACGGCUCUAUGAGUUGUAAACUGCUUUUGUACGAGAAUAAUAGUUCUUACGUGUAGGGAUUUGAAUGUAUCGUACGAAUAAGGAUCGGCUAACUCCGUGCCAGCAGCCGCGGUAAUACGGAGGAUUCGAGCGUUAUCCGGAUUUAUUGGGUUUAAAGGGUGCGUAGGCUGUCGGAUAAGUUAGAGGUCAAAUGUCGGGGCUUAACCCCGUGCCUGCCUCUG
rnacentral:rRNA from 1 species